rnacentral:rRNA from 1 species
GUGCCAGCCGCCGCGGUAAUACGUAUGGGGCAAGCGUUAUCCGGAUUUAUUGGGCGUAAAGCGCGCGUAGGCGGAUCGUUAAGUCAGGUGUGAAAUCCGGGGGCUCAACCCGCGGCCUGCAUCUGAAACUGGCGGUCUUGAGUCUGGUAGAGGAAAGUGGAAUUCCUAGUGUAGCGGUGAAAUGCGCAGAUAUUAGGAGGAACACCAGUGGCGAAGGCGGCUUUCUGGGCCACGACUGACGCUGAGGCGCGAAAGCUAGGGGAGCAAACAGGAUUAGAUACCCUGGUAGUCCACGCCCUAA